CAUGACAGUCGAGCGGAUCGAUGGGAGCUUGCUCUCCAUGAAGUAACCGGGCGGGACGGGGUGAGUACACGUGGGCAACCUGCCUGUAAAGACUGGGAUAACUCCGGGAACCGGGGCUAAUACCGGAUAAUUCAUGUCCUCUCAUGAGGAAAUGCUGAAGACGGUUUCGGCUGUCACUUACAGAUGGGCCCGCGGCGCAUUAGCUAGUUGGUGAGGUAACGGCUCACCAAGGCAACGAUGCGUAGCCGACCUGAGAGGGUGAUCGGCCACACUGGGACUGAGACACGGCCCAGACUCCUACGGGAGGCAGCAGUAGGGAAUCUUCCGCAAUGGACGAAAGUCUGACGGAGCAACGCCGCGUGAGCGAUGAAGGCCUUCGGGUCGUAAAGCUCUGUUGUUAGGGAAGAACAAGUAUCGGAGUAACUGCCGGUACCUUGACGGUACCUAACCAGAAAGCCACGGCUAACUACGUGCCAGCAGCCGCGGUAAUACGUAGGUGGCAAGCGUUGUCCGGAAUUAUUGGGCGUAAAGCGCGCGCAGGUGGUUCCUUAAGUCUGAUGUGAAAGCCCACGGCUCAACCGUGGAGGGUCAUUGGAAACUGGGGAACUUGAGUGCAGAAG
rnacentral:rRNA from 1 species